UAGCGCCGGCUAACUCUGUGCCAGCAGCCGCGGUAAUACAGAGGGUGCAAGCGUUAAUCGGAUUUACUGGGCGUAAAGCGCGCGUAGGCGGCUAAUUAAGUCAAAUGUGAAAUCCCCGAGCUUAACUUGGGAAUUGCAUUCGAUACUGGUUAGCUAGAGUGUGGGAGAGGAUGGUAGAAUUCCAGGUGUAGCGGUGAAAUGCGUAGAGAUCUGGAGGAAUACCGAUGGCGAAGGCAGCCAUCUGGCCUAACACUGACGCUGAGGUGCGAAAGCAUGGGGAGCAAACAGGAUUAGAUACCCUGGUAGUCCAUGCCGUAAACGAUGUCUACUAGCCGUUGGGGCCUUUGAGGCUUUAGUGGCGCAGCUAACGCGAUAAGUAGACCGCCUGGGGAGUACGGUCGCAAGACUAAAACUCAAAUGAAUUGACGGGGGCCCGCACAAGCGGUGGAGCAUGUGGUUUAAUUCGAUGCAACGCGAAGAAACUUA
rnacentral:rRNA from 1 species